rnacentral:rRNA from 1 species
AGAGUUUGAUCAUGGCUCAGGAUAAACGCUGGCGGCGCACAUAAGACAUGCAAGUCGAACGAACUUAACCAUAAGUUUACUUUUGGAGCGGUUAGUGGCGGACUGGUGAGUAACACGUAAGCAACCUGCCUAUCAGAGGGGAACAACAGUUAGAAAUGACUGCUAAUACCGCAUAUGCCAUGAAUAUCACAUGAUAUAAAUGGGAAAGGAGCAAUCCGCUGAUAGAUGGGCUUGCG